rnacentral:lncRNA from 1 species
AUACUCCCAUCAUGCACAUCACCAUGUUGUUGUUUUUUACCUUGUGAUUCCCAUCAUGUAGUCUACAAAAGCCGUGCGCAAAAAUAUCAUAAUGUUAUACUUCUGGCAACCUGGAGAAGAGUGUUUGGCUUGGAUAGAUAGGGACUCUCAGAAACAGUGGGGCUUCACUGGGGCCAUUAAAUUGUAUUAAGGAUUUUCUUUCCAGUUUCAACCCGAAACAGAACUUCCAGUUUUCACACUGAUUAAGGAAAUUUAAAGGGAUUUUCAUAACAUCGCGUCUCAUCAUUGGUGUGCCGUGAAGACCACCUUACCUGAUUUGACAGGAGAUCAGAUUUAAAGAGUUCAUAAGCUCUUCAAUUCAGGUCAUACAACUGGUGGGGAGAUACAAGUACAAAGGUGAAUGAUUUUAAUGUUUCCCAUGUUUAAUUUCUGUCUACAAAAUGAUGCUACAGGGUAGAAAUGGCAAGAGCUGAAUUUUUUAUAUAUUUACUCACACACUGUUUAAUAUUCACACAAACAAUGUCGAUUUGUCUGCUAACUAAUAGUACCAUUUAGAGACCUAUGCUGAAUGUGAACUUAUCACAAUUCUGUCUUAUGACCCAAAGUCUGAAAAACCUCAUAACCCCAAUAAGAUUGUAACAGUAUAGGAGUCAGUUGUAACUGUCUUUGAUGGUGUACAUGAAGGGUAAUUCACCAAUGUUAUGAUUUGAAACUGAUAUUUGAUGAAAAUAUAUUAAAUUGACAUAAAAUAUUUUCAUAUGAUCUUUUAGGCAUGUAUUGGCAAUAAAAUUAGUUGCAAAAUUGUAUAUUUUGUUUUAAAUGUUAAACAUGUUAUUUUGUUUGUCUGUUGACGUUAACAAGUGCAAUUUGAUAUAAAUCUGUGAAUGUGUCUAUAUACUAUAACACUUUAUGUAAGGGGUCAAUUCUAACACUACCUUACAAUUUAACACAAGCAUAGAAGCCUUUACUUUUUAGAGUCAUGAGAAAAUACAACAAGAAUUAUUGUCAUCAACUAUACCUAUCAAAAUCCCUUCUUACUAUAUCAUAAAAAUGAUAUAUGUUUAACACAUGAUCUUUCACAGGUUAAUAAUACAAAAAGAAAGGUGACAAAAAUAUAUAUUUGUUUUUAGCCUCAAAUGUUUUGUCAAUUAAACCCCCCAAAAUGUAUGGAUUAACAAUAAAAAUACAAAUAUGUUUAGGCAUGAGAGAUAUAACCAUGGAUCAUACUAUUGAAUAACAGCCGUUUCUAAUUUGAGUUAUGUAUGCCUGUUACAACUGACCUGUGAAACAAUUGUCCCCAGUCUCCCCUACUUAUUAUAGACAUUUCACAUAUAGCAUAUAAUACAAAUUAAAAGCAAGACAUUUAUGAUGAUGGAAAAUUAGCUAAAUGUAGGACAUUACCUCUAACAUCUAAGCAUUUAUUUUCUUACAGUAUUU